rnacentral:rRNA from 1 species
GAUGAACGCUGGCGGCGUGCCUAAUACAUGCAAGUCGUAGCGAACAGACGCAGGAGCUUGCUCCUCUGACGUUAGCGGCGGACGGGUGAGUAACACGUGGAUAACCUACCUAUAAGACUGGGAUAACUUCGGGAAACCGGAGCUAAUACCGGAUAAUAUAUUGAACCGCAUGGUUCAAUAGUGAAAGACGGUUUUGCUGUCACUUAUAGAUGGAUCCGCGCCGCAUUAGCUAGUUGGUAAGGUAACGGCUUACCAAGGCAACGAUGCGUAGCCGACCUGAGAGGGUGAUCGGCCACACUGGAACUGAGACACGGUCCAGACUCCUACGGGAGGCAGCAGUAGGGAAUCUUCCGCAAUGGGCGAAAGCCUGACGGAGCAACGCCGCGUGAGUGAUGAAGGUCUUCGGAUCGUAAAACUCUGUUAUUAGGGAAGAACAAAUGUGUAAGUAACUAUGCACGUCUUGACGGUACCUAAUCAGAAAGCCACGGCUAACUACGUGCCAGCAGCCGCGGUAAUACGUAGGUGGCAAGCGUUAUCCGGAAUUAUUGGGCGUAAAGCGCGCGUAGGCGGUUUUUUAAGUCUGAUGUGAAAGCCCACGGCUCAACCGUGGAGGGUCAUUGGAAACUGGAAAACUUGAGUGCAGAAGAGGAAAGUGGAAUUCCAUGUGUAGCGGUGAAAUGCGCAGAGAUAUGGAGGAACACCAGUGGCGAAGGCGACUUUCUGGUCUGUAACUGACGCUGAUGUGCGAAAGCGUGGGGAUCAAACAGGAUUAGAUACCCUGGUAGUCCACGCCGUAAACGAUGAGUGCUAAGUGUUAGGGGGUUUCCGCCCCUUAGUGCUGCAGCUAACGCAUUAAGCACUCCGCCUGGGGAGUACGACCGCAGGGUUGAACUCAAAGGAAUUGACGGGGACCCGCACAAGCGGUGGAGCAUGUGGUUAAUUCGAAGCAACGCGAAGAACUUACCAAAUCUUGACAUCUCUGACCCUCUAGAGAUAGAGUUU